rnacentral:rRNA from 1 species
CAUAUCAAUAAGCGGAGGAAAAGAAACUAACAAGGAUUCCCCUAGUAACUGCGAGUGAAGCGGGAAAAGCUCAAAUUUAAAAUCUGUCAGUCUUUGGCUGUCCGAGUUGUAAUCUAGAGAAGCGUUAUCCGCGCUGGACCGUGUACAAGUCUCCUGGAAUGGAGCGUCAUAGAGGGUGAGAAUCCCGUCUUUGACACGGACUGCCAGUGCUUUGUGAUGCGCUCUCAAAGAGUCGAGUUGUUUGGGAAUGCAGCUCAAAAUGGGUGGUAAAUUCCAUCUAAAGCUAAAUAUUGGCGAGAGACCGAUAGCGAACAAGUACCGUGAGGGAAAGAUGAAAAGAACUUUGGAAAGAGAGUUAAACAGUACGUGAAAUUGCUGAAAGGGAAACGCUUGAAGUCAGUCGCGUUGUCCAGGGAUCAACCUUGCUUCUGCUUGGUGUACUUUCUGGUUGACGGGUCAGCAUCAAUUUUGACCAUUGGAAAAAGAUUAAGGGAAUGUGGCAUCCUUGGAUGUGUUAUAGCCUUUGGUUGCAUACAAUGGUUGGGAUUGAGGAACUCAGCACGCCGCAAGGCCGGGUUUUUAACCACGUACGUGCUUAGGAUGCUGGCAUAAUGGCUUUAAUCGACCCGUCUUGAAACACGGACCAAGGAGUCUAACAUGCCUGCGAGUGUUUGGGUGGAAAACCCGAGCGCGUAAUGAAAGUGAAAGUUGAGAUCCUUGUCAUGGGGAGCAUCGACGCCCGGACCAGACCUUUUGUGACGGUUCCGCGGUAGAGCAUGUAUGUUGGGACCCGAAAGAUGGUGAACUAUGCCUGAAUAGGGUGAAGCCAGAGGAAACUCUGGUGGAGGCUCGUAGCGAUUCUGACGUGCAAAUCGAUCGUCAAAUUUGGGUAUAGGGGCGAAAGACUAAUCGAACCAUCUAGUAGCUGGUUCCUGCC